rnacentral:tRNA from 1 species
AUAGGUGCCGGGGCUUCUCCCGUUUUUCAGAGACGGGAGAAGA